rnacentral:rRNA from 1 species
AGACCGGUUUACUGGUCGUGCUUUUGUACGUACUGGUAUUAUUGGUUUCUCCUUUCUGACGAACUAUAAUGCCAUUAAUUUGGUGUUUUAGGGAAUCAGGACUGUUACUUUGAAAAAAUUAGAGUGUUUAAAGCAGGCUCACGCUUGAAUACAUUAGCAUGGAAUAACGGAAUAGGACGUUUGAUUCUAUUUUGUUGGUUUCGGAAAUGAAGUA